rnacentral:rRNA from 1 species
AUUGAACGCUGGCGGCAGGCUUAACACAUGCAAGUCGAGCGAGCGGCGGACGGGUGAGUAAUGUCUCGGAAACUGCCUGCUGGAGGGGGAUAACUACUUGAAACUGUAGCUAAUACCGCAUACCAUCAGAUGUGCCCAGAUGGGAUUAGCUAGUAGGUGGGGUAAAGGCUCACCUAGGCGACGAUCCCUAGCUGGUCUGAGAGGAUGACCAGCCACACGGGAACUGAGACACGGUCCAGACUCCUACGGGAGGCAGCAGUGGGGAAUAUUGCACAAUGGGCGCAAGCCUGAUGCAGCCAUGCCGCGUGUGUGAAGAAGGCCUUCGGGUUGUAAAGAACUUUCAGCGAGGAGGCGUUACUCGCAGAAGAAGCACCGGCUAACUCCGUGCCAGCAGCCGCGGUAAUUC